UACGUAGGGGGCAAGCGUUGUCCGGAAUCAUUGGGCGUAAAGCGCGCGUAGGCGGCCCGGUAAGUCCGCUCUGAAAGUCCAGGGCUUAACCCUGGAAAGCGGGUGGAUACUGCCGGGCUUGAAUCCGGAAGAGGCGAGUGGAAUUCCUGGUGUAGCGGUGAAAUGCGCAGAUAUCAGGAGGAACACCUAUUGCGAAGGCAGCUCGCUGGGACGUUACUGACGCUGAGACGCGAAAGCGUGGGGAGCAAACAGG
rnacentral:rRNA from 1 species